rnacentral:rRNA from 1 species
GAGUUUGAUCCUGGCUCAGAUUGAACGCUGGCGGCAUGCCUUACACAUGCAAGUCGAACGGUAACAGGUCUUCGGAUGCUGACGAGUGGCGAACGGGUGAGUAAUACAUCGGAACGUGCCCGAUCGUGGGGGGAUAACGGAGCGAAAGCUUUGCUAAUACCGCAUACGAUCUACGGAUGAAAGCAGGGGACCGCAAGGCCUUGCGCGGACGGAGCGGCCGAUGGCAGAUUAGGUAGUUGGUGGGAUAAAAGCUUACCAAGCCGACGAUCUGUAGCUGGUCUGGGAGGACGACCAGCCACACUGGGACUGAGACACGGCCCAGACUCCUACGGGAGGCAGCAGUGGGGAAUUUUGGACAAUGGGCGAAAGCCUGAUCCAGCCAUGCCGCGUGCAGGAUGAAGGCC